CACAAAGAAAAAUCAUAAGCGUGUCGUGGUUUUAUAUGUGAUAAAAAAUCAUGUUAAUUUACAUAAACUUUAGCUUUGAUUUUCUCGGUUAAGACAAAGUUUAUUUUAAAAAUUACUUCGCCAAUGAACUCGUAUAAGAUGAGUCGUUUUUUAAGCCAUUUAAAGCACUUGUAGUCGUGUUUUAUCACAUAUAAAACGCUCGGCUGCGCCUCGCGUUUUAUAUGUGAUAACUGAAACACUCCUACGCGUGCUUUAAAUAGUACAUAUGACAUAUGUGAAUAUGCGCAGGAUUUUGCCACAAUUUUUGUCUUUCGCUAAAAUAGCAUUCUCAUAGUUAUUACAUAUUGCAUUCUUUUAUUUUUCAUGGACAAACAAAUUGACUCAAUAACAUCGAGACAGGCAGAGGCGUAGGAACCGGG